rnacentral:tRNA from 1 species
GAGGGUAUAGCUCAAUGGUAGAGUGCAAACUUAGUAUGCACAAAGUCCUGGGUUCAAUCCCCAGUACCUCCA